CAGUCGCCGCGGUAAUACGUAGGGUGCGAGCGUUAAUCGGAAUUACUGGGCGUAAAGCGUGCGCAGGCGGUUGUGUAAGACAGGUGUGAAAUCCCCGGGCUUAACCUGGGAACUGCGCUUGUGACUGCACAGCUAGAGUAUGGCAGAGGGGGGUGGAAUUCCACGUGUAGCAGUGAAAUGCGUAGAGAUGUGGAGGAACACCGAUGGCGAAGGCAGCCCCCUGGGCCAAUACUGACGCUCAUGCACGAAAGCGUGGGGAGCAAUCAGGAUUAGAUACCCCUGUAGUCCCUGUCUCUUAUAC
rnacentral:rRNA from 1 species